UGAAUGUGCAGCAGAAUCAUUUCCCUGAAUUCCAGCCCUACGUUCUGCCUGCUUUCUUCCAGAAGCUUUUAAUUUUAUAAUGGGAAGAGGAGACGUGCACUCCACCCAGGUUAUGGUUGGGUGUUUCUCAGCAGUUGCAUGACUCAAGAUCUAACACAUGCAGUUAAAAAUCGUUCUUUUCCUUUUCUUAUCAUGGCUUUCCAUGGCCUGUAAUUGGUGCUGGUCUGUAAUCAAAUGUCUAUGAGUCAAGCAAGAGUCAAGGUUUUCCUUUUCCAUGCAGAAAGAAUUCCAUGCCUCAUGAUGCAUGCAUACAAAAGGAACAUCCCAUUUAUGUGAACACACUCCAGAAGAAAGUCUUCAGCAUCGAUAAUUUUGCCAAUAUGUUCUUGUCUCAUGAAGUGAAGCCUCAAGACUGUCUGGUGAUAUUUUUCAGCAUUAGUGAAAUAUAGACAACACUCAAGAAUUUGUCAUUUUCAAUUCCAGGUUUGAGUCCCCAUUUUUAACAUUUUAUACAUUUAAUGAAGGUAUGUUUGUCUAAAAAACAAAUAGAAACAUUAUCAGAUUUCACAUAAGUUACAUUUAUUUUCUUCAUUUUUGGCUAGUGUUUGACAUAGUAAUUGUUUCUAACUGUUAGACAUAAAUUGAUUAGAAGGAGCAUUGCUGAAAAAUUUUCAAAAUGUUAAGUAUAUAAUUCCAAAACCAGUUGGUUUUAGUUUGGGCUUUUUUUUUUAAGUUUCAAGAAAACUAAUCUUAACAGAAUCUGUC
rnacentral:lncRNA from 1 species